rnacentral:rRNA from 1 species
ACUCCUACGGGAGGCAGCAGUGGGGAAUUUUGGACAAUGGGCGAAAGCCUGAUCCAGCAAUGCCGCGUGCAGGAUGAAGGCCUUCGGGUUGUAAACUGCUUUUGUACGGAACGAAAAAGCUUCUCCUAAUACGAGAGGCCCAUGACGGUACCGUAAGAAUAAGCACCGGCUAACUACGUGCCAGCAGCCGCGGUAAU